rnacentral:rRNA from 1 species
CGCCUUGCCAGCCCGCUCAGAACUUAAAGGAAUUGACGGGGCCCGCACAAGCGGUGGAGUAUGUGGUUUAAUUCGAUGCAACGCGAAGAACCUUACCUGGUCUUGACAUCCCGGAGACCCUUAGGAAACUAGGGGGUGCUUCCAUCUGGAAGAAUCUGGAGACAGGUGCUGCAUGGCUGUCGUCAGCUCGUGUCGUGAGAUGUUGGGUUAAGUCCCGCAACGAGCGCAACCCUUGCCUUUAGUUGCCAGCAGUUCGGCUGGGCACUCUAAAGGGACUGCCGGUGUUAAACCGGAGGAAGGUGGGGAUGACGUCAAGUCCUCAUGGCCUUUAUGACCAGGGCUACACACGUACUACAAUGGCCGAUACAAAGGGCAGCGACACUGCGAGGUGAAGCCAAUCCCGUAAAAUCGGUCUCAGUCCGGAUUGGAGUCUGCAACUCGACUCCAUGAAGUUCGGUAAUCGCUACGUAAUCGUGGAAUCAAGACUAUGCCACGGUGAAUACGUUCCGGCCUU